rnacentral:pre_miRNA from 1 species
AUAAUACUCCCUCCGUUCUGAAUUACUUGUCGCAGGUAUGGAUGUAUCUAGAUGUAUUUUAGUUCUAGAUACAUCCAUUUCUACGACGAGUAAUUUGGAAUGGAGGGAGUACAUA